rnacentral:misc_RNA from 1 species
GUAUUGUAUUGCGUUAAACGCGGCGCACAUUCCAUAAGACUUUGCUGCGGUGUGUGUGUAAAGACGUAGAGCUACAGGAGGGAGGAGACGACGCGCCCCCCAGACCAUAGAACUACAGAGGGUGCACAGGUGUGAGUGGAUGUGUGGACAGAGUGUGCACAUGCCCCCGUUUGAGGACCAGCGACAACUCGUGUCGACAACUCAGUAAUGAUCCUUCCGCAGGUUCACCUACGGAAA